rnacentral:rRNA from 1 species
GGGAGGUAGUGACAAUAAAUAACAAUACGGGGUUCUUUCGGAUCUCGUAAUUGGAAUGAGUACAAUUUAAAUCUCUUAACGAGGAACAAUUGGAGGGCAAGUCUGGUGCCAGCAGCCGCGGUAAUUCCAGCUCCAAUAGCGUAUAUUAAAGUUGUUGCAGUUAAAAAGCUCGUAGUUGAAUUUCGGGAUUAAUUUAUCGGUCGUGCUUUUGUACGUACUGGUAUUAUUGAUUCCUACCUUCUGACGAACCAUGAUGUCAUUAAUUUGGUGUCUUGGGGAAUCAGGACUGUUACUUUGAAAAAAUUAGAGUGUUUAAAGCAGGCUCACGCUUGAAUACAUUAGCAUGGAAUAACGAAAUAGGACGUUUGAUUCUAUUUUGUUGGUUUCUAGGAUCGACGUAAUGAUUAAUAGGGAUAGUUGGG